rnacentral:rRNA from 1 species
UCGAGAAUUUUUCACAAUGGGCGCAAGCCUGAUGGAGCGACGCCGCGUGGGGGAUGAAUGGCUUCGGCCCGUAAACCCCUGUCAUUUGCGAUCAAACCUUGCUAUUUAAAAGAUGGCGAGCUGAUAGUAGCGAAAGAGGAAGGGACGGCUAACUCUGUGCCAGCAGCCGCGGUAAUACAGAGGUCCCAAGCGUUGUUCGGAUUCACUGGGCGUAAAGGGUGCGUAGGUGGGUGGGUAAGUCGGAUGUGAAAUCUCGGAGCUCAACUCCGAAAUGGCAUUGGAAACUACCCUGCUAGAGGGUCGGAGGGGGGACUGGAAUUCUCGGUGUAGCAGUGAAAUGCGUAGAUAUCGAGAGGAACACCAGUGGCGAAGGCGAGUCCCUGGACGACUCCUGACACUGAGGCACGAAAGCUAGGGGAGCAAACA